AUUGAACGCUGGCGGCAGGCCUAACACAUGCAAGUCGAGCGGAUGAAGGGAGCUUGCUCCUGGAUUCAGCGGCGGACGGGUGAGUAAUGCCUAGGAAUCUGCCUGGUAGUGGGGGAUAACGUCCGGAAACGGGCGCUAAUACCGCAUACGUCCUGAGGGAGAAAGUGGGGGAUCUUCGAACCCCACGCUAUCAGAUGAGCCUAGGUCGGAUUAGCUAGUUGGUGGGGUAAAGGCCUACCAAGGCGACGAUCCGUAACUGGUCUGAGAGGAUGAUCAGUCACACUGGAACUGAGACACGGUCCAGACUCCUACGGGAGGCAGCAGUGGGGAAUAUUGGACAAUGGGCGAAAGCCUGAUCCAGCCAUGCCGCGUGUGUGAAGAAGGUCUUCGGAUUGUAAAGCACUUUAAGUUGGGAGGAAGGGCAGUAAGUUAAUACCUUGCUGUUUUGACGUUACCAACAGAAUAAGCACCGGCUAACUUCGUG
rnacentral:rRNA from 1 species